GACGAACGCUGGCGGCGUGCCUAACACAUGCAAGUCGAACGGGACUCAGCCCUUCGGGACUGAGUUUAGUGGCGAACGGGUGAGUAACGCGUGAGGAACCUGCCUUUCAGUGGGGGACAACAGUUGGAAACGACUGCUAAUACCGCAUAAUACUUUCGAGCGGCAUCGUUUGAAAGUCAAAGAUUUAUUGCUGAAAGAUGGCCUCGCGUCUGAUUAGCUGGUUGGUGAGGUAACGGCCCACCAAGGCGACGAUCAGUAGCCGGUCUGAGAGGAUGAACGGCCACAUUGGGACUGAGAUACGGCCCAGACUCCUACGGGAGGCAGCAGUGGGGAAUAUUGGGCAAUGGGGGAAACCCUGACCCAGCAACGCCGCGUGAAGGAAGAAGGCCUCGGGUU
rnacentral:rRNA from 1 species